AAAUUAAAUGGGUCUGAGCAAAU
rnacentral:piRNA from 1 species